ensembl:misc_RNA Metazoa_SRP Metazoan signal recognition particle RNA
GCUGGGUGUGGUGACACACACCUGUAGUCCCAGCUGCUUAGGAGGCUGAGGCAGAAGGAUCACUUGAGCUCAGGAGUUUAAGGCUGUAGUGAGGUGUAAUUGCACCACUGCAUUCUGGCAUGGGCAACAUUGUGAGACCCUGUCUCUU